rnacentral:rRNA from 1 species
GACGAACGCUGGCGGCGUGCCUAAUACAUGCAAGUCGAGCGGAGUUUUUAAAAGCUUGCUUUUAAAAACUCAGCGGCGGACGGGUGAGUAACACGUGGGCAACCUGCCCUGUAGACUGGGAUAACUUCGGGAAACCGAAGCUAAUACCGGAUAAUCAUAGAAGUUGCAUAGCUUCUAUGUAAAAGUUGGGUUUACCUAACACUACAGGAUGGGCCCGCGUCGCAUUAGCUAGUUGGUAAGGUAACGGCUUACCAAGGCGACGAUGCGUAGCCGACCUGAGAGGGUGAUCGGCCACACUGGGACUGAGACACGGCCCAGACUCCUACGGGAGGCAGCAGUAGGGAAUCUUCCGCAAUGGACGAAAGUCUGACGGAGCAACGCCGCGUGAGCGAUGAAGGCCUUCGGGUCGUAAAGCUCUGUUGUUAGGGAAGAACAAGUGCUAUUCGAAUAGGGUGGC